rnacentral:lncRNA from 1 species
GAGGCGGGAGCGGCGGUGGCAGCGGUGGCGGCGGCGGCGGCGGCGGUGGUAGUGGCUGCGAUGGGACCCCAGCGAGAGAUCUGCGGCUAGCUGGCUGCAUUUGCUCCACGGGUCAGGGGAUCGCAGGGGCAGGUUUCAAGAAUGAGCCAUUAAAAGGAAAGGUCAAAGAGUAAACAACAGGAAGAGGAAGCGGAGGACUGCAAAGAUGGUAGCUGGACCUGAAACAGGAAGAGGUCACUGGGAG